UACGUAGGGGGCUAGCGUUGUCCGGAAUCAUUGGGCGUAAAGAGCGUGUAGGCGGCCCGGUAAGUCCGCUGUGAAAGUCGGGGGCUCAACCCUCGAAAGCCGGUGGAUACUGUCGGGCUAGAGUGCGGAAGAGGAGAAUGGAAUUCCUGGUGUAGCGGUGAAAUGCGUAGAUAUCAGGAGGAACACCGGUGGCGAAAGCGCUCAUCUGGCCCAAUACUGACGCUGAGGCGCGAAAGCUAGGGGAGCAAACGGG
rnacentral:rRNA from 1 species